UCAUUUGAGAACGAGCCCAUUGACACUACUGCACAGUCGGUGGAGCGAAAUGGUGUCAAAAAGUGAAUGAACAGCUCGUACUUAUGCCAGAGCAUGUUUGUCACAAGUUCUUUUUUCCAGGACCCGGGGGUUUAGGAGAAGCAGAAGUUGUUCCCAUGCUCUGUUCUCAGAAAACAUCAACUUGUUGAUAAGUGUGAUCUCUUUUUCUUCAAAACGAUGCACAAGGACAGCUGGAAAUCUGUUUGGUUGCACAGUAAAGGAUACAUUACUGACAUUCAAGAACGGGUUUCCACCGAGUUUAUGAGUCACUGGUCCCUCGCACGAUGGCAGCAACACAGAAAGGUCAAAAACAGAUGUUUUAACUGGAAUGUACAAGAAAGAGACUCGUCUUCAAGGCACAAAUAUGAACUUCAGUAAUUAGUUGGGGUCAAAGCUUGUGGAAUUCAAAUCCUCACUGUAAGGCCAGUUGACAAAAAUCCACCCUGACAAUCUCUGCUGAUUGCAGUCACAAACAUUUGAUAGAAGAUUCCCACUAUCUCUACACUCAACAUAUCUGCUCACAAGAGGUCCGGUAGCGUAAUAUUUGAAACGUGCCUGUAUAAAAUUGUGCCUGUGAAUGUGUCUGAGUAUAUGCAUUGCAAGUGAUAACGUCGUUGCAUAUGUGCAGCAUGCAUUCCUCAUUUCUCCCCCAAUGACAGGGGAAUGCAAAAACAUGACUCCCUUGGAGUGGAACCAUCUGCCUCACUUGUAAUCAGCUUGUGCAGUGUCAGGGUGUUUACAUUAAAGCUGCAUGCUUGCAAGAAAAAAAAAGAAAAGGAAAAAAAAAUCAGCAGUACAUCAUAAAUCAACUUCCUGUUAAAACCCCCCACAAUUUAUGUGGUCUCAGCAUGGUGUGAUGCUUAUCACUGAUGAAAUGAGCGAUGCGUAAUGUGGGAAACAACCAGGCUGCACAGUUUACAAACUCUCCUCUGUAUUUGCUUCUCCUGGAUUUUUCAAAUCACCUUUGGAAGCUUUAAAUAUUAUCUGGCUGUUAGGUGAAAUUAUUGUCCCUUUCAGCAUUACUGAGGUGCAAAUGAUUUGUGAAAAAUGAGCCUCUCGUGUUUAUGUGCUGAACUUCUCAGCAGCCACAGUCAUUCAUUGCCUCUUCACUCCAGUGGGUGAAAUAAACAUCUCCUCAGAGAGGAUGAAAUUCCAGGGCUGCAGCUGUGGCGUACAACUACAAAGUAGCACAGGACUUCUUGAUUCACCCCCCCAGACGAUUAACCUCUCGCACAGCAUGUAGCCUCUUGCCGUUGCCUUAAAACCAGACUUCUUCUGGAUCCAAUCUGAUGAGCUCCAGCAUUAGCUGUAACACGAGUAUGCAGUCAGGAUAUUACCUGGAAAUUAAAUAGAUGGACUGAAACAUUCCUCCUGCACCCAAGAAAAAUGACUAUAUGAUCAUUCCUCUUUGUGGAUUCCAAAUCAAACAGUUCUCUCUGAUUAAGCUUCUACAUAAUUAAAUUUAGAGGUCUGACAUUUAAUACAAUAUUUAUAUGUUAGAAAAAUCUCUACUUCUAACUGCUCUUUGAACUUCUAAAUGGAUUCAAAAGUGUUUCCUCCAGAACCCCCAAAAUCAAGUUAAGUUCUUUUCUAACAUUACUCUAUAUCUUUUUUUUAUUAAUCCUACAUUCACUCAUCUAUGUGUUGGUUCUAUUUUUGGAUGCCGAACUGAAUGAUUCAGUUUGGUGGACAGACAGCACAGAGGUUGAUGUUUUGCCUGGAGGCUCAGGAAGGCUUGACGUGCAUUCUGGAGAUCUGAACUGCCAAGUUCAACCCAGGACAUACUGACAGGAGAAAAUAAACCAUUACAGCCCUGCAAAGUAUUCGCUGAAAGCAAGUGGACCGUUUAUAGGUGUUUGUGUGAAAGAGAGAGAGAAAGAUAUGAUGCAUGCAAGUGUGUGGGAACAAUAAACACAGCUUGAAGUCUUGGACACUAAACUGUGGGUUGUUGUGCCAGUUUUAAGAUAUUUGACCAUAAAAAAACACAAAAAUAAAAUAAAAUCCCACUAACUUGCCAGCACACCCUCAACCACAGUGUGUAGCUAUUGGUGUUUACUUAUACUUAUUGGUGGAAGUAAAAGCUGAGCAAUUUAUCUAGAAAAUAUUUAAAACCUAAAAGUGCACACAAACACAGAGAUCAUUCAUAUAAUCUAAAGCUUUAGCUGCUUGUACCUCACACAAUCUCUUUAAAUCUGAACCUUUAACUCAUUCCCUGGGUGGUAAAUCCCCACCUCUUCUUGUCUGAAUCAAUGCUGCUGCUCCUUAUGGGCCAGGUGUUUGGAAUAAACUUCUUUUUAAGUGCUGCUGAGAUAUAAUAUGGAGGCAGGAGAUUGGAAGGAGCUCAAUAAAUAACAGUCAGGCCUCUUAAAAAAAACAGUUCUAGAAAAUAAAGGGAUUGUUUCAACAAGCAAAUGCUGGUAAAAUAUACGAGUCCAUGUUUCAUUACAAGUGAGUGAUGGUCAGUUUAUGUUUCAUUACUGUUUUAUUGGGUAAUGGGAGAGGAAGAGAGGGGACCUCUCAAAGCAAUAAGUAGCAUCCACAGCAGGAAGCUUAUGACCUUGAGAAGAGCCGAGUGCCAAUGAAGGGAGAAGAAGCAGUGCUGCCUUGAGAGAGAGAGAGAGAGAGAGAGAGAGAGAGAGAGAGAGAGAGAGAGAGCGAGAGAGAGAGAGAGAAAACAAAAAAAAAGUUUUGGACUUGCCAAACAGCCAGGGUGAAAGUGCUGCAGCCAGCUUAUCUUCUCCAAAGCAAAGAAAUCCUCGCUUCAGACAAACACCUUCAGUAAAGAAUGCAGUGAGGGUGAUCUGGGCCACAAAAUGCCCUUGAUCAUCCUCACAGCACAGACUCUGGACUUUGAUGAGAAGGCGCCUGGCUGAAAUGAGGUCAAGGAGGUGAUCACGUAGCCUAUAAACAUUUAAGGAACUGAAGAGACCCUUUGCAGGACCUUUGGGAGAGGAAUGUGGCCCCAUUCUCAUCUGACAUGGAUUCUAGUUGCUCAACAGUCCUCGGUCUUCUGAUGCUGGACUGCCAGCAGCCCAGAACAGCACCCAGACUGCUCUACUACGAAGAAAUGUUAUUGCAAUUUAUGUGCUUUAGCUUUGUCUUGAUGAAAUAUGCAAAGCCUUCUGGAUGGAGGCAAAUGCUGCCCUAAAGCCUGUAUGUGUAUCUUAUUCUAUGGUAUUAAGGCAUUCCCAAAUCAUCACAGAUGCAAGCUUUUAAACUGAGCCCGAUAACAAGACAGAUGGUACCACUCCUCUUUAGUCCAAGAGAUGUAAUGUCCCAAAUUUCCAAAAAGGAUUUCAAAUUUCAGUUUGUCUGACAACAGAACAGUUUGCUUCAGUUCAUUUUAACUUAACUUUGGCCCAGAGAAGUCAGCUGUACUGAAUCAUCUUCACAUAUGGCUUUGCUGUUUCUUGUUACAGUGAAGAACAUUAUUUUAAAAUUGUUCCCCAAUUUAAUGCCUUUUUCUCCCCAGAUUGCUAAGGCUGUCCAUUUUUACUUCUGAAGGAUUUUACCUCCAUAAAAAGGUCCUCUUUGAUACCCAGUCUUGUUACUGGCCUGUUGUCAUUCAACCAAAUUAGCUGUAACAUGUCCAGUCAACUCUGUCUCUGUAGCACUACUUGCUUUUUCAGCACUUUGUUCCCCGUGCCAACUGUUUUGAGACAUGUAAGCUGCAAUCAAAUUCAAGUUAUGCCAAUAUUGUGUCAUGAAAUAGUAAAAUGUCGUACUUACAAAUGUCAACAUUUGAUGUAUUUUUUAUUAUCUUAUGAAUAUAAAGUUUAAAAUUUGAACAUGAUUGCAUCCCAUUUUUCCCUAC